AUAAUGGGUCAGCGACUUAUAUUCUGUAGCAAGGUUAACCGAAUAGGGGAGCCGAAGGGAAACCGAGUCUUAACUGGGCGUUAAGUUGCAGGGUAUAGACCCGAAACCCGGUGAUCUAGCCAUGGGCAGGUUGAAGGUUGGGUAACACUAACUGGAGGACCGAACCGACUAAUGUUGAAAAAUUAGCGGAUGACUUGUGGCUGGGGGUGAAAGGCCAAUCAAACCGGGAGAUAGCUGGUUCUCCCCGAAAGCUAUUUAGGUAGCGCCUCGUGAAUUCAUCUCCGGGGGUAGAGCACUGUUUCGGCAAGGGGGUCAUCCCGACUUACCAACCCGAUGCAAACUGCGAAUACCGGAGAAUGUUAUCACGGGAGACACACGGCGGGUGCUAACGUCCGUCGUGAAGAGGGAAACAACCCAGACCGCCAGCUAAGGUCCCAAAGUCAUGGUUAAGUGGGAAACGAUGUGGGAAGGCCCAGACAGCCAGGAUGUUGGCUUAGAAGCAGCCAUCAUUUAAAGAAAGCGUAAUA
rnacentral:rRNA from 1 species